ACCAGUUUAGCAAAGGUCCUACUUUUCAACGACUUUAGAUACACUAAAUUUUAUGAAAAUUUUUCGCUUUGUUUUUUCUAAAUAUAAAAAUAUCAGAUAUAAUGAGAAAUUGUUCUGAAAAACAAAGCCAUGUUGUAGGUUGCCCAUUCAAAGUCUAAAAUUACUAUAGCCUCCUAGACCAGAAGAUCCAUAUCCACCAUAUGAUUGUCCUGACAAAGAAUACCGCUUGCUGUCCAUCUGAGAGUACACAGACCUCAGUCCACUGUCAUAGUUGCUAUAGCUGCUGUUGACUAAUUCUCUGCGAUCGCUUAAAAAUUCCUGCACACACGAAUAAAACGGGUCAUCAUAUGUCAUUCAUACUGCAUUGUUGCAUGUAAUGCUAAAGAUUAAUUACACAAAUUUCAAGUAGAAAAGAAAUGGCUCAAAGAACAGAAGAUCACAUCUCAAACUCACAAUCCAUCACAUGCACAGGCUUAGUUUUUAAACCAGUCCUUGCAGGAUCUUGGCAAGUUUUGUAUGAAAAUGUCCUACCUGAAUCAGUUGUAGAGCCAUCUGAACCUGUGAUGACGUGCCUUUGAUCUCCACAAUUAUUUCAUCAGGCAGUCCCCUGCUUUCUUGCACAGUUAUUAUGGCUCCACUAGCGCGACGAAUAUAUGCAAUAUUAUUCCCUCCAAUCCCAAUGAUAUCCUCAGCAUAAGAAAUUGGUACUUGAAUAGUUUGUGUUAUCUGAGCAACUAUGGGAGCACUGGCACGAUUGAGUACAGAAGAACGUAUUGAUGAAACUGCAGGAUCUUGGCCAUAGAGUGAAAUUCUGGAAGGUGGGAUCUGUGACUCCAACGAAUUUUCUAGUUCAAAGAACAAAGUUUCCCUCUUCGCUGAAAGAGGAUAAUCAGUAUCACUUCCACCUUGAGAAGUAGCGUGCAGCAAUGACUUAUCACUCCAUGUCUGUGCUUGGCGGUCCUGUGAGAUUAUUGCAUUGUAAUUCUUUUCAAAAAGAGGAAGAACACUAUGAUCAACCAAAAACUUCCUCAAGUGACCCACUAUUGCUUCUAAAGCCUUAAGAACCUUCAAGGCUUCUCCCUGCAAAUCUACAAUCCUCUCAUCUGCAGCAACAUAAAAUGGCACUUCAUCUUCCGACAAUACCCGCACAGAUGCACCACUGCUCUCUUGUAUUGCCCUGAUUACCGAGCCCUGCUUUCCAAUCAAACUAAUAGCCUGUGUUGAUGCCACCAACAACCGAAAUGAACAAAAAGCAAUGCCCGCAGCUCCAGAUUCUUCAGCAUCACCCUCAGGUAAUCCAGUAACACGUUUAAAAAUUCUUAUCACAGCAUUCAUUGCAGGGGAUAGAGGUGCCUCCGGCUCUUCCUUUCCAGAUAUCAACACUACUUGGUCGGGAAUGCCAAUGGGCGCAUCAAGAACUCGAAUGCGAGCUCGAGUUUCAUCGCACAGCUUCUUGAUAAGGUCACCCUUACGGCCAAUAAUGCUGCCCACUUUAAGCACGGGCACUAUCAACCUGAACACACAAUCCCCAGGCCAUCCCGGCCACCUCAGGCUCGUAUUGGCAGUGCCGGUGGAAGGUUGCAGUGUAGAAUAAAUAGAAUCGGCCUCAGAAUUUGUUUCUGCUGGUGGUGCUUCAAUGUUUUGUGUGUCGGAUUCUAACGGAUUCUCGGAGCCGUUGGCUGUGGUCUCUGGUUUUGCGGUGGUGGCCAUGGCCAUUGAAGAGAUAAAGAGAGAGAGAGAGAGAGAGGAAAAAGAAUAAGAUUCGAAGUUAUAUCCCCCUUUUA
rnacentral:misc_RNA from 1 species